GCCUGGUGAAAUACUAGAAUGCAGCCAUACAAGUGGGUUCUUGAAUUCAAGGACUUGUUUAAUGAUCUUUUGCUUGGAAUAAUUACAAAUUCUUUAAUUUAAAAUACUGCUAUGACUUGCUUUUAGGAUUUGCUGCUGCACUACUAAGAUUGCAACUUCACUGUGAAUAUCUGCAGAAGCAAGCUGAUCACCUAUAACCCCUAGCUCUGGUAUUUCAGCCCAUUCUGAUAGCCCUGACAUUGCUUCUGGCUUGGUUUCAUGUCGACGUCCUACAAUUAUAAGGUCAUAACUUUCUUGUAUUGAUCGAACCACAGAUGCUGUGUCCGAGCCUGUGGUCACUGUCUGUUCUGCAUAAUAUAUAUGCCCAUUCAUGGACAUUUCAUUUCUCAAACUUCUUAAUGAUUCCGAAUCAAGCAUAUCUUCCCAUUUAUCUCUGUUGCUAUCUUCAGGACUUGCACAGCACACUACUUUUAGUUGAACUCUUGGGCUUCUUGCCAUUUUCAAGGCAUAAGCCAUUGCCUCUCUAUCGUCUGCACCUCCAAUGAAUAGUACACAAACUCUACACACCGUCGAUGAUGAGAAAAUGGAAGAUAAGCCACGGCCACUACUACGAUCAAUGAGAAUCCCCACAGAACAAGGAGCCCUUUCCAGUACAUUAAUGUUCAGGUUUCGUAUGUCAUUGUUGUUUGAUACCAAUCUCCCCUUGUUAUGCCAUUUCUUAUGGAAGGGCAGUAUUAUUAGCGAGCACCCUUUGUCAAAUGCUAGCCAACAGAUGUCUUCGUGCAUCAUUUUUAUAGGUGAUACUGCAGUGAAGACGUGCACUUGUGUUCCCUUCCUGUUCCCCACCAUGAAGUAAUUGAAAAUAUCGAUUAUGGGUUGCGAGCGAGAUGCCUGAGACAAGGAUCUUCUUUGGCCUAAUUUGUGGUUGAUCAUAUAAGGGGUGUCACUGCCAAGAAGUUCUUCCAAGCAAAGUCCAUAAAUUGACAAAGGACUCUCUUUUGUAGGGUUGGAAAAUUCUAGCAACUUGGUUGCGGCCAUUGCUUCCUCUUGCUUAUGUGCACAGACCAAUAUAUCCAAUGGUGCGUCAUAUGAAGCAUAUUGGACGCAUUUCUUCUUAUACCCUAUGUAAUGCUUACUUGGGUCAUAGAGCUUUUUGAUUAGUGGUGGUGCAAAUGAUGACAACAAAAAUAUUAAGAACACCCCACUGGUACUGUCCAAAUCCUUUGUCUCAAUGCUAGUGUAGCUAUAAAAUGUUCCCAUCUCGCGAGGGCCUUUGAAAUUUAAGAUGAGUGCAAGAGUAACAGCAUCUCUGUAAUCAAUCUUGAUAAAGAUAAUCAAGGCAGCAGUAGCUAUCAGCUUAAUAGCAUAGCCAAUGAAGGCUAUUUGAAAAAUAAGAGCAUCAUUAAAAUGGGAGAUAAAUAUCCACAAAUUAAAUUUGGAGGCACAGUAAGUGUAGAGUAGUGGAAUAAGCAAACCAGAGACAAUUGUAUCAAGCUUUGCUGUAAGGCUUGUUGCUAAUGGAGAACCAGCAGGGAUUACCAACCCUAAAGUUAAAGGACCCAAUAGAUAAUCAAGCCCUACAGAAUCUCCCACUGAUGAAGAAAUCAAUACUGCUGCUAUUAAAAAGUUGGUGUAAAGAUCUUUAAUGGGUUUCCCUUGUGGAGUUGCUCUAAUGAACCACAAUAUCAAUCUGUGUGCUACUAUAACUGUUGAUGCAAGAAAAAUACUCAGAUACACAAAGCUCUGAACCCCAACCUUUACAGAAGGUGUAUAUCUGAGUCUGUUGAAGAUAGAAACAACGAGAUUAUUGUAUAAAAAUCUUGCCAAGUCGUUAACCAAAGUUGUUGCCAAAGCAAAGUGUCCUAGCCGAGAAUUAGUUAUCUUGAGCUGUACCAGAAGAGCACUUAUAUCGACGAAUUCGGUCCCCGCAAAUGCAUUGAAAUAUAAAUUUACAUUAUUCAUCCUUGCACUCACUUGUGCAUUUGUGAUGUUUCGAUCAAAUUUUACCUCUAGAGUUUGUGACAUUGUGUAGGGAAGUGCAAAUACAAGAAACCCCAGUAAGAUAAUUCUGGCCCCUGAUCUUUUCACCAAGCUUAUGUCCAUCCUCACUGCUGCCAGGAAUGUGAACAUAAUAACAUAUCCAAUCUUUACCAUUGAAGCCAUUACUUGAUUGGGUGGUGGAGGAAAAAAUAGUUCUU
rnacentral:misc_RNA from 1 species